UUUUUCUUUUCUUUUUCUCUUUCUUUCAUCUUUCCUCUUCUUUUCUGUUCUUCUUCUCCGUCUCUCCGUCGAUCUCAGUUUCAGAGAUUUGAGUGUUUAGUUGUAUGAGAAUUCUUGUAUACCUUGUUAUCCAAGAUGAUUAGAUGAAGAAGGUGAUGUUACUGGAGCUGAUCUAGUUCUGCAAUUUCAGAGAAUGUUUCAGAGACAGAUCAAGAUGUGUUUGUGGCGAUGAAAGCUUCGAGGAGUUGGUUUCGUGUUGUUUAGCUUCCGCUGUGUUUAUUUUGUGUUAUAUUCUAAUUUUAAACCAACUCACUAUUAAAUAUGUAUCAUUUGAGAGAAGUUCUUGUAUUAAUUUCAGAGAGGGUUUAUAUUUGGGUUAAACUAUGUUUAGAACUUUUAAAUUAAUUCCUAACUAGAUGAUUUAGAUUUUUA